rfam:Schistosoma curassoni strain Dakar, Senegal genome assembly, scaffold: SCTD_contig0000133
AUCCAGUUGACGAGUACCAAAUAGGACGAAACGUGUGUCAAACUGGAU